rnacentral:rRNA from 1 species
GUGCCAGCAGCCGCGGUAAUACGUAGGUGGCAAGCGUUAUCCGGAAUUAUUGGGCGUAAAGCGCGCGUAGGCGGUUUUUUAAGUCUGAUGUGAAAGCCCACGGCUCAACCGUGGAGGGUCAUUGGAAACUGGAAAACUUGAGUGCAGAAGAGGAAAGUGGAAUUUCAUGUGUAGCGGUGAAAUGCGCAGAGAUAUGGAAGAACACCCGUGGCGAAAGCCACUUUUCUGGUCUGUAACUGACGCUGAUGUGCGAAAGCGUGGGGAUCAAACAGGAUUAAAUACCCUGGUUAUCC